rnacentral:rRNA from 1 species
CGAACGGGUGAGUAAUGCGUGACCAACCUACCCCAUGCUCCAGAAUAGCUCUUGGAAACGGGUGGUAAUGCUGGAUGCUCCAACUUGACGCAUGUCUUGUUGGGAAAGUGUUUAGUGGCAUGGGAUGGGGUCGCGUCCUAUCAGCUUGUAGGCGGGGUAAUGGCCCACCUAGGCUUCGACGGGUAGCCGGCCUGAGAGGGCGGACGGCCACAUUGGGACUGAGAUACGGCCCAGACUCCUACGGGAGGCAGCAGCC